GACGGAGGAUGCAAGCGUUAUCCGGAAUGAUUGGGCGUAAAGCGUCCGCAGGUGGCAGUUCAAGUCUGCUGUCAAAGACCGGGGCUUAACUUCGGAAAGGCAGUGGAAACUGAACAGCUAGAGUAUGGUAGGGGCAGAGGGAAUUCCUGGUGUAGCGGUGAAAUGCGUAGAGAUCAGGAAGAACACCGGUGGCGAAGGCGGCCCGCUGGGCAGUGGCCGACGCUGAGGCGCGACAGCGUGGGGAGCAAACAGG
rnacentral:rRNA from 1 species